GGCGGCGUGCCUAAUACAUGCAAGUCGAGCGAACAGAUAAGGAGCUUGCUCCUUUGACGUUAGCGGCGGACGGGUGAGUAACACGUGGAUAACCUACCUAUAAGACUGGGAUAACUUCGGGAAACCGGAGCUAAUACCGGAUAACAUAUUGAACCGCAUGGUUCAAUAGUGAAAGGCGGCUUUGCUGUCACUUAUAGAUGGAUCCGCGCCGUAUUAGCUAGUUGGUAAGGUAACGGCUUACCAAGGCAACGAUACAGCCGACCUGAGAGGGUGAUCGGCCACACUGGAACUGAGACACGGUCCAGACUCCUACGGGAGGCAGCAGUAGGGAAUCUUCCGCAAUGGGCGAAAGCCUGACGGAGCAACGCCGCGUGAGUGAUGAAGGUCUUCGGAUCGUAAAACUCUGUUAUCAGGGAAGAACAAAUGUGUAAGUAACUGUGCACAUCUUGACGGUACCUGAUCAGAAAGCCACGGCUAACUACGUGCCAGCAGCCGCGGUAAUACGUAGGUGGCAAGCGUUAUCCGGAAUUAUUGGGCGUAAAGCGCGCGUAGGCGGUUUUUUAAGUCUGAUGUGAAAGCCCACGGCUCAACCGUGGAGGGUCAUUGGAAACUGGAAAACUUGAGUGCAGAAGAGGAAAGUGGAAUUCCAUGUGUAGCGGUGAAAUGCGCAGAGAUAUGGAGGAACACCAGUGGCGAAGGCGACUUUCUGGUCUGUAACUGACGCUGAUGUGCGAAAGCGUGGGGAUCAAACAGGAUUAGAUACCCUGGUAGUCCACGCCGUAAACGAUGAGUGCUAAGUGUUAGGGGGUUUCCGCCCCUUAGUGCUGCAGCUAACGCAUUAAGCACUCCGCCUGGGGAGUACGACCGCAAGGUUGAAACUCAAAGGAAUUGACGGGGACCCGCACAAGCGGUGGAGCAUGUGGUUUAAUUCGAAGCAACGCGAAGAACCUUACCAAAUCUUGACAUCCUUUGACCGCUCUAGAGAUAGAGUUUUCCCCUUCGGGGGACAAAGUGACAGGUGGUAUGGUUGU
rnacentral:rRNA from 1 species